rnacentral:rRNA from 1 species
CUGCUGCCUCCCGUAGGAGUCUGGUCCGUGUCUCAGUACCAGUGUGGGGGACCUUCCUCUCAGAACCCCUACGCAUCGUCGCCUCGGUGGGCCGUUGCCCCGCCGACUAGCUAAUGCGCCGCAUGCCCAUCCCCCGCCGGAAUCGCUUCCUUUGGCCGCAGACCCAUGCAGGUCCGCGGCGUUACGCGGUAUUAGUCGGGAUUUCUCCCGGUUAUCCCCCUGCGGGGGGCAGGUCGCAUACGUGUUACUCACCCGUGCGCCGGUCGCCGG